rnacentral:rRNA from 1 species
UACAGAGGUAGCAAGCGUUGUCCGGAUUCACUGGGUGUAAAGGGCUUGUAGGUGGCCAACUAAGUCAGAUGUAAAAUCGUACUGCUCAACAGUACAACCGCAUUUGAAACUGAUUGGCUUGAGUGCAGGAGGGGAAGGUGGAAUUUUCGGUGUAGCGGUGAAAUGCGUAGAUAUCGAAAAGAACACCAGUGGCGAAGGCGGCCUUCUAGCCUGCAACUGACACUGAAAAGCGAAAGCCAGGGGAGCAAACGGG